CUUGCAGUGUUGCAGCAGAGACUAGCUUCUGAACCGCUAAACGUUAUAUUGGAAUUUCAAAACAUAGAGUGACUAGCUUCUGAACUGAUAAACCUUCUAUUGGAAUUUCAAAAUGUGGAGGCUACAUAUCGUGUUCUGCAACCCGAUGAUCAGUGGAUGUGCACAAAAUGUCAUUUCAAACAAAUAUUGUGCCUUGCAUAGAUUAAUCAAAGCAUUGUCACUUGUGCUGCAGACGGCAGGUAUUUCAUUACUCCACUCUUUGGGCUAUUUGGAAAGGCAGUGUUAUAGAGCCGUGCUUGAAGGAAAGUCUGUCGAUGCUUCUCAAGCUCUUAAUUACUGCAAGCACAUGGUCACAAUCUGUCAAGAAGCAAUAGCUGGGAAUCAUUCCCUAAUGUAGCUUUAAACCUCCUGUCUACAAUUGGAAACGAUUUGUUGAAUUUAAGGUCAGAUAGGGAACCGAAUUUCUGAUCAAUUCAUGGUGACUGGUCCUCUUCUUGACCAGAAUUUAAGGCUUUGUCUCUGACUUAGUAUCCAUGAUGAAGAGAAAAUGAGUUUCUUGAUGUGGUGAAUCUUGUUUGAUUUGCUGAAUACCACUAAUAGAUGAUAUUGCAAAUUGAACCCACCCUACCAGCAAAGUUGCAGAAUCAAUCAGAACCUUCUUAGACCAAUGAAAUUUAUUGGUUCUCCAAUGGUUAAGAAGAAGAGCUGGUUCAACAUAUUGAAGAGGUUCUUUAUAAGGGAGACAAACUCAAAACAAGAAACGGAAAGGAGAAGGAAAUGGAUUUUUGGAGGGCUGAAGAUCAAAAGGUUAUCCUCGCUCACUGCACCAUCAUCAUUAAAUGAAAGAAGUCUAGGUGAGGCUGAGGAAGAGCUGAUCAAGCAUGCUCUUGCUGUAGCCCAUGCUGCCACUGUUGCUGCUGAAGCAGCUUUUACAACUGCUCUAGUUGAUGCUGAGAUUGUCCAGUUCACCAGCACCCCUUAAUAUAACCAUUAAUGUGUAAAUGAAUUGGAAGUGUUUUCAGUCAUUAGAGUACAAGGUGAAGCCCCUCAGUGCAACUAUCAAUGCAUGAGAGAGAAAUCCAUGAAUUUGCUGCCACCAGAAUUUAAUCUGCCUUUAGGGGUUUACCUUGUGAGUUUAAAGAAGGUGGAGGAGCAGCAAUAAUUGUGCAAAACAUAGAGGAAAUAAGUUUAGAUAUUUACUCCUUCCAGAGACUAGCUUCUGAUUUGAUAAACCUUCUAUUGGAAUUUCAAAACGUGGAGGCUACAUAUUGUGUUCUGCAACAUGAUGAUCACUGGAUGUGCACAAAAUGUCAUUUCAAACAAAUAUUGUGUCUUGCAUAGAUUGAUCAAAGCAUUGUCACCUGUGUUGCAAAUGGCAGGUAUUUCAUAACUAAUAGUUGCGCAAUCAAUCAGAACCUUCUUACACCACUGUAAUUCAUAGGCUGUCCAAUGGCUAAGAAGACGAGUUGGUUCAACAUAAUGAACAGUUUCUUAAUUCUUCAUCAGAAAGACAAACUCAAAACCAACCAAGGGUAAGAGAAGGAAAUGAAUUUUUGGAGGCUUAAGAUCAAAAGGUUAGCCUCACUCACUGCACCAUUAUCCUUGAAUGAAAGAAGUCUAGGUGAGGCAGGGGAAGAGCAGAUCAAGCUUGCUCUUGCUGUGGCCCAUGCUCUUACUGCUUCUGCUGCUGCUGCUGAUGCAUCUAUUACAACAGCUCAAGUUGCUACUGAGGUUGUCUGGUUCACCAGCACACCUCAAUCUAGCCAUCAAUGUGAAAAUGAAGUGGAAGAGUUUUCUGUCAUUAGAUUUCAAGGUGAAGCCCCUCAGUCCAACCAUCAAUGUCAGACAGAAAUCCAUAAAUUUGCUUCCACUAGAAUUCAGUCUGCCUUUCAGGGAUACCAUGCAAGGAAAAGGUUUAUGGGCUCAAGCUAUUAUUAGAGGCAGAGCAGUAAGACGCCAAGCUAUAAGCCUAUAACUACCCUGAAGUGCUUGCAGUCCAUUGUGGUCGCAGGCCUGCACAAGAAGAUUUGGAAUGGUGGAAGGUACUUGGAAUUAUGAUGAAAGUAAAGAAUUGCAGAAUUGGAAAGACAAGAUAACAAGAUACACACAAACAAUCAAAGAAGUUGGGAUGAUAGUGUUUUGUCAAAGGAAGAGGCAGAUGCAUUGUUUAUGAGUAGGAAAGAGGCCAUCUGAAGUCAGCAGAUAUGGAUCAGAACAUAAUAAAUGGAAGAUGGAGGCACUGGUUGGUCCAAUGGGUAGAUACACAAAUUACCAAAAGUAGAGAACUUGAAUAUUUGGACUCGGCUUUGACUUCAACUCUAAGACAAAUAUAUGACUACAGAAGAAAGCAACUUCAUCUGAAAAAUGUUAAGGGACAAAGUAAGUAGGAAGGAUUGGAUUCUCCAACAUUUGUUCCCAGAGGAUCAAUUCAUCAUAGAAGGCAAUGCUCAUUGAGAGACCAUAAUUCUUUGUUAAGCUCUCCUGUUGUUCCAACUUACAUGAAUGCAACUGAAUCUACAAAGGCAAAAGCAGGAUCAAUGAACUCGCCAAAAAUAAGGCCCGGGAAUUUCAAUACAUAAUCUGAAAGCUAUUCAUCAUAUAAGAAUAAACUGUCUCUCAUAUCCUCUAUUACUACUGAAGUGUCAAGUGGUGGUAGGAUUGGCAAGACUAGUAAUUUCUAGCAAAGAUAUCCAAACUCGAAAGGCCUUCUAGGUCCUAUAAAAAUCUGUCAGAAGGUUAAGGGUCUUAGCUUUAACUCAGAGUGCUCAUUGCAGAUUUUGGAUUGACAUGGCUUCAGAUAAUUUCAGAAGUUUGGUCCAAGAAGAGUUCUUGGUUAGUGUGUCAGGUUGGAGUGGAGAACAUAGUCUGUAAUUUGAUCUAGUUUGAAUAGUUAAACAAUGGGAUGCUAUUUCAUCUCAUCAUUAAACGAGCAGCCCACUGUAAUGCUGCACAGUUGAUUGACAUACAUUUUUAUUUAUUUAUUUGAAUAAGCUGAUAUUAUUAACAGAAAAA